UACGUAGGGACCGAGCGUUGUCCGGAAUCAUUGGGCGUAAAGAGCGUGUAGGCGGCCAAUUAAGUCCUGCGUGAAAUCUCCCGGCUCAACUGGGAGGGUGCGCCGAAAACUGGAGGGCUAGAGUACUGGAUGGGAGAGUGGAAUUCCUGGUGUAGCGGUGAAAUGCGUAGAUAUCAGGAGGAACACCUGUGGUGUAGACGGCUCUCUGGACAGUAACUGACGCUGAGACACGAAAGCGUGGGUAGCAAACAGG
rnacentral:rRNA from 1 species